AACCCAAAUCCUGAUCAAAUCAGGAACUAGUUUUUCUUGUAAUUAGGCUUGAUCUAAUCAAACCCAAUCCAAGUCAAACUGAGUCCAAUUCAAUUAAACCUAAUCUGAACCUUAUUGCUUAAUCAUAUUGAGUUAAUUAGUAAUCUAAUUGCUAAUUAAUCCUCCAUUAAUGGUAGAGUUUCAGUCCAGUGGGUCUCUCCACCAG
rnacentral:lncRNA from 1 species